UACUGCAUGAUGUCUUAGGAGUUGUGCUACUAUUCACAGCUCCAUGAUUUGUCUUCUGAUGACAUCAAUAGUCUCGUUUCGGGUGUUCAGCUGAAGCAGACUGUUUCUCUUCAUACAUUUGAAACAGAUGUUCAAUGUUAUCAAUUUAUUAAACAAUAAAUAUAAAUGUGUUCUAAAGGAAAGUGUCCUGAGUAGUCAUUGAUCAAAUUGUAUUAAAAUCAUUUUUUUCAAAUUUGAUUAACUAUACAUACAACAGACAACA